CCUACGGGAGGCAGCAGUAGGGAAUCUUCCACAAUGGGCGAAAGCCUGAUGGAGCAACGCCGCGUGGGUGAAGAAGGUCUUCGGAUCGUAAAACCCUGUUGUUAGAGAAGAAAGUGCGUGAGAGUAACUGUUCACGUUUCGACGGUAUCUAACCAGAAAGCCACGGCUAACUACGUGCCAGCAGCCGCGGUAAUAAGUAGGUGGCAAGCGUUAUCCGGAUUGAUUGGGCGUAAAGGGAACGCAGGCGGUCUUUUAAGUCUGAUGUGAAAGCCUUCGGCUUAACCGGAGUAGUGCAUUGGAAACUGGGAGACUUGAGUGCAGAAGAGGAGAGUGGAACUCCAUGUGUAGCGGUGAAAUGCGUAGAUAUAUGGAAGAACACCAGUGGCGAAAGCGGCUCUCUGGUCUGUAACUGACGCUGAGGUUCGAAAGCGUGGGUAGCAAACAGGAUUAGAUACCCCAGUAGUC
rnacentral:rRNA from 1 species